rnacentral:rRNA from 1 species
GACGAACGCUGGCGGCGUGUUUAACACAUGCAAGUCGAACGGAAAGGCCCUGCUUUUGUGGGGUGCUCGAGUGGCGAACGGGUGAGUAACACGUGAGUAACCUGCCCUUGACUUUGGGAUAACUUCAGGAAACUGGGGCUAAUACCGGAUAGGAGCUCCUGCGGCAUGGGGGGGGUUGGAAAGUUUCGGCGGUUGGGGAUGGACUCGCGGCUUAUCAGCUUGUUGGUGGGGUAGUGGCUUACCAAGGCUUUGACGGGUAGCCGGCCUGAGAGGGUGACCGGCCACAUUGGGACUGAGAUACGGCCCAGACUCCUACGGGAGGCAGCAGUGGGGAAUAUUGCACAAUGGGCGGAAGCCUGAUGCAGCAACGCCGCGUGCGGGAUGACGGCCUUCGGGUUGUAAACCGCUUUCGCCUGUGACGAAGCGUGAGUGACGGUAAUGGGUAAAGAAGCACCGGCUAACUACGUG